rnacentral:rRNA from 1 species
UACGUAGGGUGCAAGCGUUAAUCGGAAUUACUGGGCGUAAAGCGUGCGUAGACGGUCUUGUAAGUCGGGUGUGAAAUCCCCGGGCUCAACCUGGGAAUUGCAUUCGAGACUGCAAGGCUUGGGUGCGGAAGAGGGAAGCGGAAUUUCCGGUGUAGCGGUGAAAUGCGUAGAUAUCGGAAGGAACAUCAGUGGCGAAAGCGGCUUCCUGGUCCAGCACCGACGUUCAGGCACGAAAGCGUGGGGAGCAAACAGG